GCUCCUGACUUACGUGAGGAAAUCCUGAGUGUGAAGACCUUUUCUUCCACUUUUUCCAGGCUGAAUGCUUUUGAUCUCUCUACAUUAUGACAUGUGAGUCACACAGUGUCAAAGGCUGAUACAGCUCUUAAGCAAAAUGGACUUUGGGGAAUCAGUGAGAUCUUACUUGGCUCCCAAGUUUAUGGAGAACAACUCAUCUCCCCGUGCUCAAUUGGAGCAACUUGGACUGUAUCUUACUGCUCUCCUGCCUCACAUUGCUUUGGCAAUGGGCAAUCUACCUGAUUACGAGAAGUUCAUAUCUGAGCUAGGUUUGAACUGCACAGCUCAGUGAUAAAAGCUCAGGAAGCAAAUUUAAAUAUUGCAUUUUGAACCAAACCCAAGUAUAACAUGGGCAACCACUGAGUGAGCACCUUUGCAGAAGAAGAAUAAUUUCAUUACAGUUAUGAAUGAAUUGUGAUGGGUCUUCACAAGGAUCUCCAGAGGCAGCAAUUUACCACUCGAUAUAGAAGGAUGGGACACCAUGAUGAAACACCCUGGUUGCAAUGAAAGGAAGCAGAUGAGUAAGAAUGAGUGAGCAACACUGAAGAAGACAGGGCUGUGCUCAGAAAGAAGAACUUGGAGGAACGAGGGAUUGUGCAUAGUCUUAUUGAAGAUGUGGUUCAAUGAGUAGCUGUUCUGUACUGAUUCAGGUUAGAAAUCACAGAGGAGAAAGGGUCUGACAGGAUGUUAUGCAAACUUAGGCCACAGAAUCUUGAUGCAGCGCAUGGUGAGAAGACAAAAGGGAGGGUCUGCCAGUGCCAGCGAAGAAAUUUGAUUCAAAACCUUCUGUCUUCGUACUUUUUUAUCUCCUGCCUUUUUCAG